GACGAACGCUGGCGGCGUGCCUAAUACAUGCAAGUUGAACGCUGAAGGUUGGUACUUGUAUUAACUGGAUGAGCAGCGAACGGGUGAGUAGCGCGUGGGGCAUCUUUGUUUUUGCGGGGUACAACAUAUGGAAACGAAUACUAAUAACGUAUAAAAACAUUAAACAUAAGGUUUAAGUUAUAUUUAUGCUAUUGCAUCUAUCAAAGAUGCUCUCGCUUUGUAUUAGCUAGUUGGUGAGGUAAAGGCUCAGCAAGGCGAUGAUACAUAGCCGACCUGAGAGGGUGAUAGGCCACAUUGGGACUGAGACACGGCCCAGACUCCUACGGGAGGCAGCAGUAGGGAAUCUUCGGCAAUGGACGAAAGUCUGACCGAGCAACGCCGCGUGAGUGACGAAGGUGUUCGGAUCGUAAAACUCUGUUGGUAGAGAAGAACGUUGGUGAGAGUGGAAAGCUCAUAAUGUGACGGUAACUAGCCAGAAAGGGACGGCUAACUACGUG
rnacentral:rRNA from 1 species